UGAGUAACACGUGGGUGAUCUGCCCUGCACUUUGGGAUAAGCCUGGGAAACUGGGUCUAAUACCGGAUAGGACUACGCGAUGCAUGUCGUGUGGUGGAAAGCUUUUGCGGUGUGGGAUGGGCCCGCGGCCUAUCAGCUUGUUGGUGGGGUGAUGGCCUACCAAGGCGACGACGGGUAGCCGGCCUGAGAGGGUGACCGGCCACACUGGGACUGAGAUACGGCCCAGACUCCUACGGGAGGCAGCAGUGGGGAAUAUUGCACAAUGGGCGCAAGCCUGAUGCAGCGACGCCGCGUGAGGGAUGACGGCCUUCGGGUUGUAAACCUCUUUCAGCAGGGACGAAGCGCAAGUGACGGUAGGGGUAGAAGAAGGACCGGCCAACUACGUGCCAGCAGCCGCGGUAAUACGUAGGGUCCGAGCGUUGUCCGGAAUUACUGGGCGUAAAGAGCUCGUAGGUGGUUUGUCG
rnacentral:rRNA from 1 species